UCUACGGGUGGCAGCAGUGAGGAAUAUUGGUCAAUGGACGAGAGUCUGAACCAGCCAAGUAGCGUGAAGGAUGACUGCCCUAUGGGUUGUAAACUUCUUUUAUAAAGGAAUAAAACGAGGCACGUGUGCCUUUUUGCAUGUACUUUAUGAAUAAGGAUCGGCUAACUCCGUGCCAGCAGCCGCGGUAAUACGUAGGGGGCAAGCGUUAUCCGGAUUUAUUGGGUGUAAAGGGAGCGCAGACGGCUGUGCAAGUCUGGAGUGAAAGGCGGGGGCCCAACCCCCGGACUGCUCUGGAAACUGUAAAGCUGGAGUGCAGGAGAGGUAAGCGGAAGUCCUAGUGUAGCGGUGAAAUGCGUAGAUAUUAGGAGGAACACCAGUGGCGAAGGCGGCUUACUGGACUGCAACUGACGUUGAGGCUCGAAAGCGUGGGGAGCAAACAGGAUUAGAUACCCUAGUAGUC
rnacentral:rRNA from 1 species